CAGUUCCGCCAGGCGGCAGGGUGGGCAGGAAGGAGACCGGAAGCAGGCGGCUCUGCAGGCCCAGGGCAGGGUCCACCCUCACUGAGUGAGCCCGGGGCUUUGCAAGACUGUCCCCUGAUGGAUGCUCUCAUCGUGCCACCCUCCUCGAUAGCCUGUUUUCUCCAUGACCCGACCAAGGGGCCUUCCAGGGUCUGCCGUGCCCACCUCCUGGCUCCCUCUUUCGACCUUCAAAUAAAGGGCUCCUUCCAAGUCUCCCCACAGGCAUCACCUGUUGGGGAAGAUUUUUAUCUGCAAACAGGUGUUGCCAGGUUGGAUCUUUCACUUUCAAGGGCUGAUGAUUGCGGUCCAGUGGGCCCACCUGGAUAACCUUGGAUACUCUCACCUUAAUCACCCCUUGUCACGUGACAUUCACAGGUGUUGAGAAUUCGAAUAUGGACACUGGGGGUUCAUUAUCCUGCCGACCACAACAGGCCAGAGUCACCCUUUUGUUUUUUUGAAAGGCAAUUGUAUGAAGGCAAAGUAACUUUACCUUAAAGUCAUUCUCAUAUGUUUUUGCAGACAUUGAAAUGUUUUCUUUAACUCUGAAUAUUUAGAUUUUGGAUGAAGCACGAUUCAAAUACUUUCUAAAAUGGAAUCUGGUUAACUGCCACCUGAGCUCCACCAUUGUUUAAUAGCAGUUUCUCUGUUUCGUGA